rnacentral:lncRNA from 1 species
AACAAAAUGAAAAUGCACGGUGCAGGGAGUCCACUAAAGCUCUGCCAGAGGCCGGGUUCUAAGGCCUUAUUGAUUAACUACAGCUGUUGAUGCUAGUGAACCGUCUCCGUGUUGAGCUGGUGUGGAAGAUGUUAGACUUGACCGCUUCUUAAGGACCAAUGCAGCCGAUCUGGGAGGAGUGCGGUGUACAGGAACUAUCUUUCCACAAAUCACAUGACGUCUGCAAAGGACAAAAGAGCUGCCCAUGUCCAGUUUUCUGUCAUCUUUUAAAAUCACAACCCAAUAACUUUAA